AUCGAACGCUGGCGGCAGGCCUAACACAUGCAAGUCGAGCGAGCGUCGGACGGGUGAGUAAUGUAUGGAGACUGCCCGAUAGAGGGGGAUAACUAGUGGAAACGGUAGCUACUACCGCAUACUAUCGGAUAACCCAUAUGGGGUUAGCUAGUAGUUGAGGUAAUGGCUCACCUAGGCGACGAUCCCUAGCUGGUAUGAGAGGUUGUUCAGCCACACUGGGACUGAGACACGGCCCAGACCCCUACGGAGGCAGCAGUGGGGAAUAUUGGACAAUGGGCGCAAGCCUGAUGCAGCCAUGCCGCGUGUAUGAAGAAGGCCCUAGGUUUGUAAAGUACUUUCAGUCGGGAGGCGUUACCGACAGAAGAAGCACCGGCUAACUCCGUGCCAGCAGCCGCGGUAAUAC
rnacentral:rRNA from 1 species